AGAUAUUACAAGUUGAGCAAACUUCUUCUUUUAACUUCUCCAUUAAAAAAGAAUCUUAAUCCAACAUCGAGGUCGCAAUCAAUUUUAUCAAUAAGAACUAUCCAAAAUUAUUACGCUGUUAUCCCUAGAGUAUUUUUUUCACUUAAUCGUUACUAACGGAUCAUUUAAUAUUCUUAAAGUUUAUUAAUCUUUAAAAAUCACCCCAAUUAAAUUUUAAUUUUAUAAAUAUUUAUAUAAUUAAAAUAAAAAUUCAUAGGGUCUUCUUGUCCCAAACAAACAUUUAAGUUUUUUCACAUAAAAACCAACUUCUAUUAAUUUUCUUAAGAAAGAUAAUCUUUGUUCAACCAUUCUCUUAGCAUCCAUUUAAAACCUUAUUUCAAUACCUUCGUAUAGUCAAAAUA
rnacentral:rRNA from 1 species